UACGGAGGGGGCUAGCGUUGUUCGGAAUUACUGGGCGUAAAGCGCACGUAGGCGGCUGUGUAAGUCAGAGGUGAAAGCCCGGGGCCCAACCCCGGAAUAGCCUUUGAGACUGCAUAGCUUGAACACGGGAGAGGUGAGUGGAAUUCCGAGUGUAGAGGUGAAAUUCGUAGAUAUUCGGAAGAACACCAGUGGCGAAGGCGGCUCACUGGACCGUUGUUGACGCUGAGGUGCGAAAGCGUGGGGAGCAAACAGG
rnacentral:rRNA from 1 species